rnacentral:rRNA from 1 species
AAGCCCGCUCGCCGGAAGACCAAGGGUUCCUGUCCAACGUUAAUCGGGGCAGGGUGAGUCGACCCCUAAGGCGAGGCCGAAAGGCGUAGUCGAUGGGAAACGGGUUAAUAUUCCCGUACUUGGUGUUACUGCGAAGGGGGGACGGAGAAGGCUAUGUUGGCCGGGCGACGGUUGUCCCGGUUUAAGCGUGUAGGUGUGUGUUCCAGGUAAAUCCGGUUCACUUUAACACUGAGGCGUGACGACGAGGCACUACGGUGCUGAAGCAACAAAUGCCCUGCUUCCAGGAAAAGCCUCUAAGCAUCAGGUAACACCAAAUCGUACCCCAAACCGACACAGGUGGUCAGGUAGAGAAUACCAAGGCGCUUGAGAGAACUCGGGUGAAGGAACUAGGCAAAAUGGUGCCGUAACUUCGGGAGAAGGCACGCUGACACGUAGGUGAAGUGAUUUACUCAUGGAGCUGAAGUCAGUCGAAGAUACCAGCUGGCUGCAACUGUUUAUUAAAAACACAGCACUGUGCAAACACGAAAGUGGACGUAUACGGUGUGACGCCUGCCCGGUGCCGGAAGGUUAAUUGAUGGGGUCAGCGCAAGCGAAGCUCCUGAUCGAAGCCCCGGUAAACG